rnacentral:rRNA from 1 species
UACGAAGGGGGCUAGCGUUGCUCGGAAUACUGGGCGUAAAGCGUGCGCAGGCGGUUUGUAAGUCAGAUGUGAAAUCCCCGGGCUUAACCUGGGAACUGCGUUUGAAACUACAAGGCUAGAGUGUGGCAGAGGGGGGUGGAAUUCCGACGUGUAGCAGUGAAAUGCGUAGAGAUGUGGAGGAACACCGAUGGCGAAGGCAGCCCCCUGGGUUAACACUGACGCUCAGGCACGAAAGCGUGGGGAGCAAACAGG